rnacentral:rRNA from 1 species
GAUGAACGCUGGCGGCGUGCUUAACACAUGCAAGUCGAACGAAGCACUUUAUUUGAUUUCCUUCGGGACUUAUUAUUUUGUGACUGAGUGGCGGACGGGUGAGUAACUCGUGGGUAACCUGCCUUGUACAGGGGGAUAACAGUUGGAAACGGCUGCUAAUACCCCAUAAGCGCACAGCAUCGCAUGAUGCAGUGUGAAAAACUCCGGUGGUAUAAGAUGUACCCGCGUUGGAUUAGCUAGUUGGUGAGGUAACGGCCCACCAAGGCGACGAUCCAUAGACGACAUGAGAGGGUGACCCGACACAUUGGGACUGGGACACGGCCCAAACUCCUACGGGAGGCAGCAGUGGGGAAUAUUGCACAAUGGGCGAAAGCCUGAUGCAGCGACGCCGCGUGAGCGAAGAAGUAUUUCAGGAUGUAAAGCACUAUCAGCAGGGAAGAUAAUGACGGUACCUGAAUAAGAAGCACCGGCUAAAUACGUG